rnacentral:rRNA from 1 species
CCCCGCAUGUGUAGUAUAAAUUGCCUUGUACAGAUGAAACUGCGAACGGCUCAUUAAAGCAGUUAUCGUUUCUUYGAUUAGUCCGUCCUGGAUGGCUUGGCUGAGGUGUUCCAAUUCCUGAGAGAGCUUGCCCGCACGCAUGCGUGCUCGCCUUUGCAUCAAUUCAUGUGGAGAAGAGAAGAGAUAUCCAGCCCUAAAGUGUGUUUCCACUUCUUUGUAAAAAACGGUUAUUUAACUGCCAAUAGAUGAGAAUAUCUCAUCUAUCAUCUACUUGCCAUCAUCAAGAACAACCCACGUAUUAACUGAUAGCGAGGAAUGAAGGUUUUACCUCGGGGAGGAACCUUUCACGAUGGCUACCACUUCCACUGAAGGGACGGGCCCUAAAAUUACCUACCUCUUCCGAUAAAAGAGGAAGGGACGACAAUUACCUCACCACAUGCCUCAUCUGUCUUGAACGAAUGAUUAACACUUUCCCACUCUUACUAAGUCGAUUGCAGGAAAGGUCUGGACCCAGCCCACCCGGAAAUUCCAACUCCAAUACAGAUCUGGUGCCAGCAGCCGCGGUAAUUCCAGCUCCAAUAGUGA